rnacentral:rRNA from 1 species
UACGUAGGGUGCAAGCGUUGUCCGGAAUUAUUGGGCGUAAAGAGCUCGUAGGCGGUCUGUCGCGUCUGCUGUGAAAACCCGGGGCUCAACUCCGGGCUUGCAGUGGAUACGGGCAGACUAGAGUUCGGUAGGGGAGACUGGAAUUCCUGGUGUAGCGGUGAAAUGCGCAGAUAUCAGGAGGAACACCGGUGGCGAAGGCGGGUCUCUGGGCCGAUACGGACGCUGAGGAGCGAAAGCGUGGGGAGCGAACAGG